AGCAGCAGCAGCAACAGCAACAGCAACAGCAGCAGCAGCCGCAGCAACAUUUUCUAUAUGCAGUGUAACCUAAGCCGACGGAGCGUCUCCAGAUAUACCCUCUGAAAGAGUCAACGACGUACAGUUUUCUUGGAAACUGAAGUUGCUGCGCAGCGUACUCAGCUAAGUUCUACUGGAAAACGACCGGCCGGAUCGCAGAGAGUCAGGGUGAAGAGAUGUGGGGCUCUGGCCCAGGAGGGAGGGAGGGGGCAGUCGGUCCUGUCCAGUGUGGCCCCUCUCCUGCGCUGAGGGCCUGCUUCCUGACAGGGAGAAUGACAUCACCAGGGGGGGCCCUUGAUCCCUCUUUUUGGGGAAGCGUUGAAAUUUUGCACACAAAGGCGGCGCAGCGCUGCUAUCUGCACAUCUGAGUGGACGCAGCACUUUUGAAAAUCCCUAACGAGAUUAGAGUUGCAGUGCGAUCAGCUGUCAGUCUGCUCUCACUGGCUGCUUCUCUGAACUCACAUAUAGGAUCUAAGCCCUGCUGAAAUCACAAGCGCUCCACCCCCAAAGACCACAGGACGGAUGGAGUACUGUUGAAUCAAACAAGAGUCACACGUAUGUAUGGUUGAAAAAAGAAAAGAAAAAUACAUUUAAUUCUCAGGGUCCCUGUGACUUCUGACCCAGUCUUUUUUUUUUUUUUUUAAUUUUUCG